rnacentral:rRNA from 1 species
UACAGAGGUCCCAAGCGUUGUUCGGAUUCACUGGGCGUAAAGGGUGCGUAGGCGGUCGGGUAAGUCUGAUGUGAAAUCUCACAGCUUAACUGUGAAACUGCAUUGGAUACUAUCCGGCUUGAGGAAUGGAGGGGAGACUGGAAUACUUGAUGUAGCAGUGAAAUGCGUAGAUAUCAAGUGGAACACCAGUGGCGAAGGCGAGUCUCUGGACAUUUCCUGACGCUGAGGCACGAAAGCCAGGGGAGCAAACGGG